rnacentral:rRNA from 1 species
UGGGGAAUAUUGCACAAUGGGCGCAAGCCUGAUGCAGCCAUGCCGCGUGUAUGAAGAAGGCCUUCGGGUUGUAAAGUACUUUCAGUCGGGAGGAAGGUGUCAAGGUUAAUAACCUUGGCAAUUGACGUUACCGACAGAAGAAGCACCGGCUAACUCCGUGCCAGCAGCCGCGGUAAUACGGAGGGUGCAAGCGUUAAUCGGAAUUACUGGGCGUAAAGCGCACGCAGGCGGUUGAUUGAGUCAGAUGUGAAAUCCCCGGGCUUAACCCGGGAAUUGCAUCUGAUACUGGUCAGCUAGAGGCUUGUAGAGGGGGGUAGAAUUCCAUGUGGAGCGGUGAAAUGCGUAGAGAUGUGGAGGAAUACCGGUGGCGAAGGCGGCCCCCUGGACAAAGACUGACGCUCAGGUGCGAAAGCGUGGGGAGCAAACAGG